UACGAAGGGGGCUAGCGUUGUUCGGAAUCACUGGGCGUAAAGCGCAUGCAGGCGGAUUGUUAAGUCGGGGGUGAAAUCCCGAGGCUCAACCUCGGAACUGCCUUCGAUACUGGCAAUCUUGAGUCCGGGAGAGGUGAGUGGAACUGCGAGUGUAGAGGUGAAAUUCGUAGAUAUUCGGAAGAACACCAGUGGCGAAGGCGACUCGCUGGACAAGUAUUGACGCUGAGGUGCGAAAGCGUGGGGAGCAAACAGG
rnacentral:rRNA from 1 species